CCCUGUUCUCUGAGCGCCCGAGUUAACCCCGGCCCUGUUCUCUGAGCGCCCGAGUUAACCCCGGCCCUGUUCUCUGAGCGCCCGAGUUAACCCCGGCCCUGUUCUCUGAGCGCCCGAGUUAACCCCGGCCCUGUUCUCUGAGCGCCCGAGUUAACCCCGGCCCUGUUCUCUGAGCGCCCGAGUUAACCCCGGCCUUGUUCUCUGGGCCCUGGAGGCAGGGGGAGAAUGUGACACCUUGUCGACACAAUUCCCCGUACUGGAUCAGCUGAGCACACAGGGUAAGGCGGUAAGACAGGGGCUAAUGACACGCUUUCGUCUCCACAGCUUCGGCUGGUCUGAGGAGUCUGGGUUUCCUCUAGAACUGACAUAGCAGGAAGGCCAUGUUCAUUUCUGGGCCUUGUGAAGGUACACGCGCCUUGUCUGCUGUUGUGCUGCAUGUUUAAUUGUGAUGCGUGAUGUAUCGCUGUGCUGCGUUGUGUUGUUCAAGGUGAUCCUCUCCCAGAGGCUGAUGCUGGGGACAAGGGGACCGGAUCCACAGGCCUGAAAUACAAGCAGUUCAGCCAGGCUGCUACCCAAACACUCUUCCUGAGUCACAUGACCUGUCCUUAGUCACAUCUGGCUUAAAGCUCCAACUCCCGGUCCUGAAAAACACGUGUAAUUGAGGACUUUGAUUUCCUGUGACAGCCACACCAUUUCAGUUGAAUCAGUAAACAUGGUAGCAGCUUUAAAGUGGCUGACUACAUGAAUAACUCCAACCAUUACCUUCUUUGUUGUUUGAAGACCUAUUCAUUACAUGGGCUCAGAGACGUGAGAGAGAGAGAGUGACUGCUGUGUGUGUGUGUGUGUGUGUGUGUGUGUGUGUGUGUGUGUGUGUGUGUGUGUGUGUGUGUGUGUGUGUGUGUGUGUGUGUGCACGGCCAAUCAGCUUUUACUUUCCACCCCCCACAUCUACCUCUGACAGGAAGAGGAAGAGCGUCCCUAACCACCACAUUUAUCAGAUUAAACCUGAAGCGUGUGCAACGCGGCGUGAACAAAGUGACAUAUUAAUAAGGACAAAUUGAAUUGAGGUAAGGUAGGGGGGACGGCAGUAGUGGGGCCUGAAGAAAAGACCUACUAGAGCCCCAGUACACGGGCUCUCUUGUUCCUAGGGGUUCAGACACAUACACUAGUGUAUGGGAGCAGGCAGGACCCAGAGGAAGGCAGGCAGGGUCCCAAGGAUGGCAGGCAGGCCCCCGAGGAAGGUAGGAAGGACCCCGAGGAUGGCAGGCAGGCCCCCAAGGAAGGUAGGCAAGACCCCGAGGAAGGUAGGCAAGACCCCGAGGAAGGUAGGCAAGACCCCGAGGAAGGUAGGAAGGACCCCGAGGAUGGCAGGCAGGCCCCCGAGGAAGGUAGGCAAGACCCCGAGGAAGGUAGGAAGGACCCCGAGGAAGGUAGGAAGGACCCCGAGGAAGGUAGGAAGGACCCCGAGGAAGGUAGGAAGGACCCCGAGGAAGGUAGGAAGGACCCCGAGGAAGGCAGGCCACUCAGGAGAAAUUGGGAUUAAAACGGUGGGUUCAUGUGAAUGACAAAAAUGUGAAUGAAAACUUGUACAACAAGAGGCAGAGAGGAAGUCCAGAGGUCAACAACCACAUGGUUACAACAGACUAUUAUAAAGAAGGACUCUCAAGGCUCCAUAAUAAUGGGUGACGGUUUACAAUCACUGAUGGUUUUCUUCAACAACACAGUGCUCAAAUGCAUCCUAAUGUAAACCAAGUCUGAGUUUAAAUGAGAGAGAGAGUAGGGGGACUGCUGAGAGAGCUCAUGUACACAGGAGAGUGUAAAACAA